UAGGGAAUCUUCGGCAAUGGACGAAAGUCUGACCGAGCAACGCCGCGUGAGUGAAGAAGGUUUUCGGAUCGUAAAACUCUGUUGUUAGAGAAGAACAAGGACGUUAGUAACUGAACGUCCCCUGACGGUAUCUAACCAGAAAGCCACGGCUAACUACGUGCCAGCAGCCGCGGUAAUACGUAGGUGGCAAGCGUUGUCCGGAUUUAUUGGGCGUAAAGCGAGCGCAGGCGGUUUCUUAAGUCUGAUGUGAAAGCCCCCGGCUCAACCGGGGAGGGUCAUUGGAAACUGGGAGACUUGAGUGCAGAAAAGGAGCGUGGAAUUCCAUGUGUAGCGGUGAAAUGCGCAGAUAUAUGGAGGAACACCAGUGGCGAAGGCGGCUCUCUGGUCUGUAACAGACGCUGAGGCACGAAAGCGUGGGGAGCAAACAGG
rnacentral:rRNA from 1 species